GCCAUUAGUGUCUUUGGUGACAAAGCUAUCACUUCAGCUUCUGGGUCUGGAUUGCCUGGUUGAUUUCUCUUCUUCUUGAUUUGUUGUGCAGGUUGAGUUUGUUGAUUUGGAGGAGCAAAGUUAUACAGAUGCAGAAGUUAAAUUGGACAUGUUCUCCUCCAUAACAACACCAGGUACUUGAGCUUGUUGAUUCAUUAAAUCUUUCAUCAUCAUAAUCUUGAUCUCUUUCGUCUCCCUCUUCAAGCUAAUCUACCAACUGAUUUUGAUAAAAGAGACUUUUUUAAGACACUCAUAUAUGUAUAUAUAGCUAGUCAUGAUGGGGUAGCA
rnacentral:misc_RNA from 1 species